AAAUCGUCGCCCAAACGACCACAACAUGAAGAAAAGUCCUGCGAAUUCGGGUUGUUGGUGAAUUUGUUAUUUCACGAGUGUGGAAAGCACUCUUGUCCGCCCGCCCAUCAAUUCCAAGUAGAUAUAUUUCAAAAAGAUCUUGAAGGCUAUUUGUAGCUAAUGUGAUAUUUUUGCAUGUCUGUCUGUGAAUUUUCAGCACUUAGUUUGACUCCUUGGGAUUUUAAUUAUAUUAAUUUGAACCUCUUUUAUAUACAUUUCUGAAUACGUUUUAGUUUAAUAAUCUAUAGGCUAGUGUUUUUCCAUACAUGUCUGCAUGUGCACCAUAUGCCUGGAUUUCCCUGUGUUUUCAUUACUUGCAUGACUUGUUAUUAGAGCAUAUACUUUAACACAGGGAGCAGUACAGGUCAGUCUCCUCUAUUCCCUUUCUCUCCUUUUUAUUGAGACUCUCCUUUUAUUUAUUUUAUCUUUCUGUCUCUUUUUUAAUGUUUCUUCUCUCCCCUCUGACCAGUGUGUGUAUGCAGACGGAGUGUUCUCCAUCUAGAGGAGAGCCCCCUGGACUUCUCUAGCCAUUAAGGCCUCUGUCUGUUUCAUUAUGCAUCACCCCUUUGUCCUUCUCCUUCCUGCUCUCUGUAGCUGUGAUGUGCUGGCCCUCUCUAGGCUGUGCUCUAUUAAUACACGUAGUGGUGUGUGUGUGUGUGUGUGUGUGUGUGUGUGUGUGUGUGUGUGUGUGUGUGUGUGUGUGUGUGUGUGUGUGUGUGUGUGUGUGUGUGUGUGUGUGUGUGUGUGCGUGCGUGCGUGCGUGCGUGCGUGCGUGCGUGCGUGCGUGCGUGCGUGCGUGCGUGCGUGUCUGUGUGUGCGUGUGUGUGUGUCACAGCAUACCUCUGCUCACUGUCUCCUCUCAGACCCCAUCUGUGCUUCCCACUCGUUCCCAACGUUCAGGACCACAGGACGGGCUCCUGGGAUCAAGUGGAUCAGAUCAUCGGAAAAUAACACAUGCUGAUGCCACAGUGUGUUUUAGUGUGUUUCAUUCAUUUCAGUUUUGUCAGUGAUGUGUACUCCGAGGAACUUAAAGCUUUCCACCUCGUACACUGCGGCCCCGAAGCUGGUUGAGAGAAUGCCAAGAGUGUGCAAAGCUGUCAUCAAGGCAAAGGGUGGCUACUUUGAAGAAUCUUUAGCACUUUUUGGUUACUACAUCAUUCAAUGUGUGUUAUUUCAUAGUUUUGAUGUCUUCACUAUUAUUCUACAAUGUAGAAAAUAGUAAACAUAAAUAAAAACCCUUGAAUGAGUAGGUGUGUCCAAACUUUUGACUGGUACUGUAUGUGAUGUAUAGACAUCAUGGACAGUAUCUGGAUAGAAUAUAUAUUAUAUAUCUGUAGAAUAUGUGGAUAGAUUAGUAUUUGCAAGGAAUGAAAGGAAGAUUUUCAAUUGUUGUUUUUAAUUAUUACAAUCUUCAAACAGAGUAAAAUCAUCAUUUUUGGAGAGAAUAUUCUGCCUUCUUUCAUGUUCUAAGAUUUAAACUGUUUUAAUAAGUUUAACUCCAGCAACCAAAAGCAGGAAACCCAUAAAAAUAAACAUUUAUGUAAUUUCUGUACAAAGAAUGUCUGUUGUUUCCACCCAUAAUUAAGUAUUAUAGAAGUGGUUAAAGUACCUAAAGACUGUACUUUUUUUAGCCCAGUGACAGUACAGGGUUGUAGCAAAACAAUUCGCAGCGGAAAACGAAAACAAAAGUUUCUUAUUGAACAUGUUCUGGUGGUCCCUCUACAUUUUUUACAACCCUGGAUUGAUUGAACUGAAGUUAGACAUGUGACACUGAACAGAAGCACUAGAGGGAAUUCUCUCCUCACAUUCAAAUUCUGAUGCAAAGGGUGAGAAGAGAUAUGAGCUGAGUUUGAUUAACAUUGAGAAAAAUCGACAUCUGAAAGGUGAAUAACAUGAACACAACAUGAUGUAACUUUGAUAUGCUUUUUUAACAGGCCUGUAGUAAUGUGAAUGCAAUAAAGUUCAUUUACAGUUGGAUAUGUUAUUGUUGUUCUCUAACAAUGCAAUCCAUCUAAACUCUCCACUCACCAUAUUGUAUGUCUAACACAAUAAACCAUUGAGAUUCUAAUAGCAUAUAUAUAGCAUUUGAUUCAAUUAAGAAUUCUAAAUUAGACUGCAGUAAUACAUGAAGGUUUGGUUGACUGUGAGGGACUGUGAUGUCAGAUGUACCCUAUUUCCUGUUCUUUAUAAGUAGAUGUCAGACAGAGACAGACUGCAGUACACAGCCAGCUGUGGUAAUGGUGAUGUCACUGUUGAGGAGUUUUCUGUUGUUCUACUUCUCAUUCAACAAAUUGACCACAGCAGCAGGUAAGGCAAGCUGUUUCUUCCCACCAAUCGAGGUUGAUUCUGUAUUAAAUCAUCAGUAUGGUACAUAUGUAUCUUUGAUUCUAACAACCAUGGUUUCUCUUUCUUCCCUGUCUUUUCUAUAGAAGCCAUUCUCUGGGUGAAGACGGGGGAGAAGUUUACCAUGAAGUGCUCCACCACUCUAAAAGACCAGGAUGGAAUGUACCUGUAUGUUGGGCUGGACAGGGACAGGGAGGUGCUGUAUUACUACCAGCGUGACUCCAAACUGACCCCCAGGAGACGUUACUGGGACAGAGUGAAGACUGAGGGACCUGUGGACCAACUGACCAUCACCGUCAGUAACCUGACCAUAGAGGACACAGGUGUCUACUGGUGUGUUUACACAAAAUUCAAUAAAUCCACGUAUGAAAAUGACAUCAACCAAGGAAGAGGCUCCACUCUGGUCGUGGUGAAUGGUAGAGACGAUGCCCUCCAGCUGCCAUGCCCCACAGCUAUUGCAGUAACACUGACCCCCUUUCACCCAGCCAACGAGAAGCUGUGCGCAUCUGGCGUGGAAAACAUCAUCAUCAUCACCAGCAUCUUGACCACCCUGAUGUGUGCCGUCAUCUUCCUCGCCUGGGUCGCUCCACGGGUGAAGAGGUGCUGUAACCAGGGAGGAUACACACCCCAGGUCUUUCCUGACUCGGUCUAUGAAGACAUGGCCAGGAAUCCCAUUUAUCCACCAGACACACAGCAGGUACAAUCGUACCCCUAUUCUGUGUCUACCAAAGGAGGAAGUAGGACCACUGUGUAGCUUCUUCGAAUGCUUUCUCUGAAUAUUGCUUCUUUGCUUUCUCAGAAUUGAAAAACCUGUUCUGCUAUAUUUCACAGUUCUAGCCUCAAUGCAAGUCUUAGUGGUACAUGUUUUGUGUGUGUGCGUGUGUGUGUGUGUGUGUGUGUGUGCGUGCGUAUGUGUGUUGCGCCAUACCAUGCUUAUGUGUGUGAAUAAAAUCUCUAUAUGGACAGUAUUCAUAUUUCAACAGAAGAGUGAACAGCCAAUGUUAUAUUCCAGUUCUUCCACAUGCAAUGCACACACACCAAUAAAGCACUUUUCUUCUAAUGAAAUGCUGCUAAAAGUAGUUAUGGAAGAAGUGGAAAGUACUCGAUCAACGUGAGUUGAGGUGCAACCAAAAAAUGUGGUCAUCAUUGAAAAGGCUCAAUGCUUGCUCAUCAUUUUAACUAUUAAAAGAUUCUGUUAAGUCAUUAGGUGAUUUGAAAAUCAUCUGAAAAUGAAACAUCCCAAUAAAUAAGAGACAGCAACCAUAGUGCUUUACAUUUUGCCCCUGAACGUUGGAUUUUGGUGCAGAUCUUUUGUGAAUGUUCAGAAUUGAUCAAAGGGCCAGUCUAAAUUGCUAAACGGGACGGAUCUGGCACGUGGGCCGCCAGUUGAAUAUCCCUGUUUUAGUCCAUAAGGUGUACAGUUGAUAGCGAUGGAGGCCUCCCUAUAACUUUUUUCAAUACAUCAGGUCAUACGAUUUAUAUUGGUUUUAGUUCUAAACAAUGCUGUAGGCUGUGUUUUUCUCUAGUGUUUUUAGGUCACUGGACCACUCAUCAAGCUGUUCCUGUGCAUGUUGUCUUCCACAAAGCCAAAAGAACUUCAACGUUAAAAUGAGAACAGUUUGUUAAGACUUUUAUUAUAUUUUAUCAUAGGUACAAAUAUUUUAGCUCCUUAAACUUUCAGGCACAUCAGGAUAUAAGCCAUUUUACAUUACAUUUGAUUAUUCUAUGGUUUUAGUUGAGAUAGCUAGUAGGUUAAACCAUAAUGGUCUGAGUACAUUGUUUUCAUGCUGAUACAGAGUAAUGAGUGUGUCUUAUGGAUGGAAAAACAAUGAUUCAUUUUUACUAAGUGACGUAGUAUUUGUCUUACACUAGGAGUCCCUGUUUUUUUACUUAUGUUUCAACUUCCUAACAGCUAUUUUCACUUUAAAUAGCUGUAAAUGUGUAUUGUAUCUUUAUAAAGGAAGACAAAUAUUCUCACCGUUUGCCUUUUAAUCAAAAUUAUUGAUACAUAAUUGAUAGUUAUGUGAUAUUCAACUUGUGUAUUCAUGUUUAUGUUGUAUUUGUAUGUAUAAAGCAUUGGUGAUGUUCAGCUAUAUUGCUUACAGUAUUUUGUAUGUUUAGAAAGCUUUCUAAAUGAAGUCAGACAGGAAACUAGAGUGUUUGUAUCAGCUGAUAUUGAACCAAUUAGAUUCCCUCUACCGUAAUAUGGCAGUCUAUUUAGUUAACCAGGUAAUGCACAUCCUUUCAUUAUGUCUGCUGCACGCAAGCUAUCCAUUGGUGUUCUUGGUGACAUGCUAUGAUGUAACAUGCGGUACUCGCCCUGCAUGUCUGCUUUCCCACCACCCACCCCAGACUCCACCUGUUUGGGCACUGCUUUUGUUUCAGUCAGGGGGAUUGGUAUAGCAUACCUGGCUCACUGUUUGUUAUUAUGUUAUCAUUAUGCAUGCUCUGGCAGUGAGCUACCCCGAAGGAGCAGAGCCUUACGCCAAGAGUAACAUAUUGAAUGUAUUGUAAUCCUUUCUAAUAAAUGGUUAAACAAA
rnacentral:lncRNA from 1 species